rnacentral:rRNA from 1 species
UUGGAGGGCAAGUCUGGUGCCAGCAGCCGCGGUAAUUCCAGCUCCAAUAGCGUAUAUUAAAGUUGUUGCAGUUAAAAAGCUCGUAGUUGAAUUUCGGGAUCAGUACGCCGGUCGUGCCUUCGGUAUGCACUGGUGUCACUGGUUUCUCCCUUCUGAAGAACCAUCAUGCCAUUAAGUUGGUGUGGCGGGGAAUCAGGACUGUUACUUUGAAAAAAUUAGAGUGUUUAAAGCAGGCUCGCGCUUGAAUACAUUAGCAUGGAAUAAUGAAAUAGGACGUUUGACCCUAUUUUGUUGGUUUCUAGGAUCGACGUAAUGAUUAAUAGGGAUAGUUGGGGGCAUUAGUAUUCAAUUGUCAGAGGUGAAAUUCUUGGAUUUAUUGAAGACUAACUACUGCGAAAGCAUUUGCCAAGGAUGUCUUCAUUAAUCAAGAACGAAAGUUAGGGGAUCGAAGACGAUCAGAUACCGUCGUAGUCUUAACCAUAAACUAUGCCGACUAGGGAUCGGAUGAUGUUAAUUUUUUAAUGACUCAUUCGGCACCUUACGGGAAAC